rnacentral:rRNA from 1 species
AUUGCCUCAGUAACGGCGAGUGAAGCGGCAACAGCUCAAAUUUGAAAUCUGGCCCCAGGCCCGAGUUGUAAUUUGCAGAGGAUGCUUUUGGCGAGGUGCCUUCCGAGUUUCCUGGAACGGGACGCCAUAGAGGGUGAGAGCCCCGUCUGGUCGGACACCGAGCCUCUGUAAAGCUCCUUCGACGAGUCGAGUAGUUUGGGAAUGCUGCUCUAAAUGGGAGGUAUAUGUCUUCUAAAGCUAAAUACCGGCCAGAGACCGAUAGCGCACAAGUAGAGUGAUCGAAAGAUGAAAAGCACUUUGAAAAGAGAGUUAAAUAGCACGUGAAAUUGUUGAAAGGGAAGCGUUUAUGACCAGACUUGGCCCGGUUGAUCAUCCAGCGUUCUCGCUGGUGCACUCUGCCGGUCCAGGCCAGCAUCAGUUCGUCGCGGGGGAUAAAGGUUUCGGGAAUGUGGCUCCUCCGGGAGUGUUAUAGCCCGUUGCGUAAUACCCUGCGGUGGACUGAGGUCCGCGCUUCUGCAAGGAUGCUGGCGUAAUGGUCAUCAACGACCCGUCUUGAAACACGGACCAAGGAGUCGUCUUCGUAUGCGAGUGUUCGGGUGUAAAACCCCUACGCGUAAUGAAAGUGAACGCAGGUGAGAGCUUCGGCGCAUCAUCGACCGAUCCUGAUGUUCUCGGAUGGAUUUGAGUAAGAGCAUACGGGGCCGGACCCGAAAGAAGGUGAACUAUGCCUGUAUAGGGUGAAGCCAGAGGAAACUCUGGUGGAGGCUCGCAGCGGUUCUGACGUGCAAAUCGAUCGUCAAAUAUGGGCAUGGGGGCGAAAGACUAAU